CCUACGGGAGGCAGCAGUGAGGAAUAUUGGUCAAUGGGCUUACGCCUGAACCAGCCAAGUCGCGUGAGGGAAGACUGCCCUAUGGGUUGUAAACCUCUUUUGUCAGGGAGCAACGCCGGCUACGUGUAGCCGGACUGAGAGUACCGGAAGAAAAAGCAUCGGCUAACUCCGUGACAGCAGCCGCGGUAAUACGGGGGAUGCGAGCGUUAUCCGGAUUUAUUGGGUUUAAAGGGUGCGUAGGCGGAAGGUUAAGUCAGCGGUCAAAUGUCGGUGCUCAACACCGGCCUGCCGUUGAAACUGGUCUUCUUUAGUGAGCGAGAAGUAUGCGGAAUGCGUGGUGUAGCGGGGAAAUGCAUAGAUAUCACGCAGAACUCCGAUUGCGAAGGCAGCCUACCGGCGCUCAACUGACGCUGAGGCACGAAAGCGUGGGGAUCGAACAGGAUUAGAUACCCGAGUAGUC
rnacentral:rRNA from 1 species